rnacentral:rRNA from 1 species
AGUGAACGCUGGCGGUAGGCCUAACACAUGCAAGUCGAACGGCAGCACAGAGGAGCUUGCUCCUUGGGUGGCGAGUGGCGGACGGGUGAGGAAUACAUCGGAAUCUACUCUGUCGUGGGGGAUAACGUAGGGAAACUUACGCUAAUACCGCAUACGACCUACGGGUGAAAGCAGGGGAUCUUCGGACCUUGCGCGAUUGAAUGAGCCGAUGUCGGAUUAGCUAGUUGGCGGGGUAAAGGCCCACCAAGGCGACGAUCCGUAGCUGGUCUGAGAGGAUGAUCAGCCACACUGGAACUGAGACACGGGCCAGACUCCUACGGGAGGCAGCAGUGGGGAAUAUUGGACAAUGGGCGCAAGCCUGAUCCAGCCAUACCGCGUGGGUGAAGAAGGCCUUCGGGUUGUAAAGCCCUUUUGUUGGGAAAGAAAUCCAUUUGGUUAAUACCCGGGUGGGAUGACGGUACCCAAAGAAUAAGCACCGGCUAACUUCGUGCCAGCCGCCGCCGUAAUAC